rnacentral:rRNA from 1 species
GCAUGGGGGCACCCUGACCGAGCACGCCGCGUGAGUGAAGAAGGUUUUCGGAUCGUAAAGCUCUGUUGUAAGUCAAGAACGAGUGUGAGAGUGGAAAGUUCACACUGUGACGGUAGCUUACCAGAAAGGGACGGCUAACUACGUGCCAGCAGCCGCGGUAAUACGUAGGUCCCGAGCGUUGUCCGGAUUUAUUGGGCGUAAAGCGAGCGCAGGCGGUUUGAUAAGUCUGAAGUUAAAGGCUGUGGCUCAACCAUAGUUCGCUUUGGAAACUGUCAAACUUGAGUGCAGAAGGGGAGAGUGGAAUUCCAUGUGUAGCGGUGAAAUGCGUAGAUAUAUGGAGGAACACCGGUGGCGAAAGCGGCUCUCUGGUCUGUAACUGACGCUGAGGCUCGAAAGCGUGGGGAGCGAACAGGAUUAGAUACCCUGGUAGUCCAAGGGCGAAUUC